UUCCCCCUCCCUGUGUCCUCAAGUCCAUUCUCUAUGUCUGGGUCUUUAUUCCUGUCCUGCCCCUAGGACACAUAUCUAGAGGUAUCAAGUAAAACAAGAUUCCAAAUAUGGAGGAAAUGGUCCACGUUCUUGUGACAGCUACUUAAUAAAGUAAUAAAGGUAAAAGCUAGACAACAUGUAAAGCUGGCCACCAAGAGAGUAAGUCACAAACUGAACACAGCACUUUCCUCCAGGCUAGAUCUUACAGACACACACACCAUCGGUUUCAAAAUCAUUUUAGAAGAGACUCAGAAAACCGCCCUGCCUCAUCCAUAGGUUCCUUAACUUCAAGGGUCCCAACUCUAGUGGGGAGCUGACCCAGGUCAUGCCUAUUUCACGGUCCUGCAAACACUCAAGGGACCCAAUUAAAAGCCACAGGCAUGAUGGCAGCCAGGCCAGGAGACCCAGUGGCCACUCAGACAUCUCAACGGAGUCAAGUUAACACUGAUUGUUACGGAGACGGCCAGUUUUCUUCAUGAAUGAACAGCUGUUCCAUCACUCUGUCCAAAGGAACACUGCCAAAGUCUGGGGGCCCAGCUGGCUCCCAACAAAGGCACACACUGCCAGAGAGGGGGCUCAGCGGGAGAAGUGACCCAGCCUUCUUUGACAGGUCAAUUGAGCUCUGCUGUGGAAAAUGCUUCACACAGGCCUGUUUUCUCUCCCCCUCACCCACAGGGCAAACAUGGCUUGAUUGUUAAAAUGACCAUGAAUAACCGUGGCUGGCUUUUUUCCCUGUUAGUGGCUGCACAUACUGAUUUUUCCACUACUUUCAAAAUCCUUUCUAAAGGGUGUUGGGAGGAAGUUCUAGAAGACAAACACUCCGUAUAAAUGAACACCCAAACAGAGGGGUGUUAUCACCGACCUCAGAGCAGCCUUUCAAGUAUGCAGACUCUGUCCGUAAGACACCACCUUCUCACUAAUUGAAAGGAUGCUAAUUCUUGCUGAGUCCCUCUUGCUUGCUCUACAAAGUUGAAGCUGGUUGGAUCUAAACUUUGUGCUGUGUUCUCUCUUUGUAUCUGCUCUUUGUAGAACAUUACCUGUGGUGGAGGAUAUAACUAUGGAGACUGGAGUCCCUGCCCUCAGUAAACUCACGGUCGCUUGGACCCUCAAGUGCACAAGAAGAUGGGGUGGAAUAGAAAAGUGGCACUGAGCUGAUACCCAGCUUGCCAAAGUCAAGCCUGUGUCCUCACAAACUCCAGAGCUAAGCAAAGAGAGGAUGAAUCACAGAAAUACAUGGCUUUAAAGCACUGAGGUCAGGACUGUGCACCCAUUAAAAAGAACAAGGCAGAGCCAUAUGUGCUGACAGGGAGCAAGCCCAGAACACACUGGACACUGACAAAAAAUUCAAAUGGAAGUGCAAAGAUCCUGGAAGAGCCAAAACAAGUCUGGAAAAGAACAGAGUUGAAGAACUAACGGCUGGGAGUUGGUUAGAUGAAGAGCAGGAGGGGGAGCUUUAUACAUAUUUAAUGUGUGAAUCAUGUGAAUGUAUUACCUAUUCAAAAAAUGAAAUUCAAAAGCACUUACGCCGCUUCUUAAGGCACAGUUUAUGCUAAAUUUCGAGAGCAAAUUAUCAGGAAGUAUUGCAAAUCUUCCAUUUUGGUAAGAAAAAAAGUCAAAUUGUCCAUCAGAUCAAUUUAAGCCAAGGUUUGGAUCCUGGGGCUAUUGUUGUUUACAAAGACACUAAGUUAUUUCUGAGAACAUUAGGAAAUGUUGCAUCUGAGCAAGGUAUUUUUUAACCCUAUGCCGUGGUCACGUCUGGUCCCAAAGCAAAGAAACUCUUUUAUCAAGAAAGAAGGUGAAUUUCUGGUUCCCUCCUCCAUCUGAGAUCUCAACCAACAAGACUUUUUCCUUUUCCUUCCUUUUCUUUUUUUUAAUUGAAAUAUAGUUAAUUUACAAUGCUGUGUUUUCUUUUUUAAGGCAGUUUUAUCGAAGUAUGAUUGGCAGACAAUAAACUGUACACAUUUAAAGUG